ensembl:lncRNA
AGGAGUCAAUGGUGCCUUCGUUCUGCAGGAGCUAGUGGCCCCUAACUGGAAGCACACAUUUUAGACUGAGAAGCUGAGAGCUGCAUCUGGUUAAGCAGGUAUGAAAGGGCAGGUGGCUGUCUCUCCACAACCUUUGCCGUUUUUGGUGAAAAGGAAUUCAACUGUGUGUUUGGGUGAAAAUGAAGAAGCUCUUUUAUGAACAGCUGCUCACACAAAUCAGGAACCGAGGCCUGGGGCCUGGAGUGACCCCAGCUGAGCAGUAUUUAUCCCUGACUGCCCCUAAUGUCCUACAUGUGGAGCUACCUAAGACCAAACAAGCUGGCUUUGGUGAUGGAAGAUGUGACCAGCCUGCUGGAGACAGAGGGCUCUGCUUUCCCGGGAGCCCAGGCGGACACACAGGGAUGAGUGGAGUGAGGGGGAGCACUCCUCUUCUGGAGCUUCGUGGCUAUCGAUAGACUCAGAAGGGCUCCAUAGUGCUCGGGACGCUCCUGGCGGUGAAGAGACUUGAAUGAGUUUUAGAUGCUGAAGUUUCCUUUGCUCUGGAAAACAAGCUGACUGAAGAAUGCUCCAACCAUUGUUCUCGGAGAAAGCAGUAAAGAAACCCUUGACCUAAACACACAUACUGCAGACUCUGAAACCAGCAGAACUGUUUUGUCUGUUAGUGAAAAACAGCUGGUUUUUGUUGGGCAUGGUGAAGUCAGAGCUCUUCCUCUGUAGAUUUCUGUCCUGGACCUGAGUGGUGAGGGGAAGGCAGCCCAGGGGAGACCAGUGGACCAGGAGCCAGAGGAAUUUCUGGAAGCACAAUCAAGCCUUAGUGUAGGCAGAGAUAGCAUCAGGAACUGACGAGGGGCUCGGGGAAAGUACCACGGUCUGGGGACACAGAUGAGAUACUAGGGAUGGGAAGAAGUUUACAUGAGGGCACUCAGGCCUCAUAAUUUGUCUGAAAGUUGGGCAUCCAUGUCCACAUGGCAUCAUUGUUUGCCACUGGCACCAGUCGCAGAGUUGGAGGAUUUAAUUCACCAUCAAUGGCCACUGUAGCCAGAUGAGGGCAAAGGGCUGGGGUAGCCGGACACGGCCAGGCUGGCUCUGCGAGAAUUCUGAAAACUUGUUCUGCUUCUGCAGCUGCACAUGGAUAAAACAGCCACUGGAUACGGAGGGAGGGCCUGCUGCAGUGACUGUCACAUCCGAGUGUUCUUUAGAUACUGAAAACACUGAAACAAAGACCUUUCAUCUAGCAUGUUUGUUUUUGUUGUAAAUUGAAUAUGCGCUUAUGUUAGAUGAAGAAAAAACUAGAUGAGAAAGCACAUAUCACCUGCAUUCCUGCUGUCCAGCUCUUUCCAUUCACAUUUAAACUCUUUCUAGAAGACUGGGAUAAUCUUCUGUAUUUGUAUUGUAUUUAUUUUCUAAUGGGCUUUUUUAUGAGCGUAUUUUUAAUUAAAUUAAAACAAAUUUAAUGGCUACAUGUCAUUCUGCUUUAUGGCUCUAUAUCCUUUAACUAGUUCUCUAUUGUUGGCCAUUUAGGCUUGUCCUGGUUUUUGUAAUAAUUAACACUCCCAUGGUUAUCUUUCUACAAAAUUCUUUGCCUCAUCCCUGGUAGUUUCUUUAGCGUAGCUUCUCAGGAGUAGAAUUACUGGGACAAGUGACCUGAACUUGGUAAAGCCCACACUACCAAAUUGCCUGCAUCAAGUUGUACUCCCACCAUCUCUAUUAUUGCUUUUGUUACCUUGUGGCAAAAUCUAUUU